rnacentral:rRNA from 1 species
AGUGAACGCUGGCGGUAGGCCUAACACAUGCAAGUCGAACGGUAGCACAGUAAGAGCUUGCUCUUACGGGUGGCGAGUGGCGGACGGGUGAGGAAUACAUCGGAAUCUACUUUUUCGUGGGGGAUAACGUAGGGAAACUUACGCUAAUACCGCAUACGAACUCCGGGUGAAAGCAGGGGAUCUUCGGACCUUGCGCGAUUGAAUGAGCCGAUGUCGGAUUAGCUAGUUGGCGGGGUAAAGGCCCACCAAGGCGACGAUCCGUAGCUGGUCUGAGAGGAUGAUCAGCCACACUGGAACUGAGACACGAUCCAGACUCCUACGGGAGGCAGCAGUGGGGAAUAUUGGACAAUGGGCGCAAGCCUGAUCCAGCCAUACCGCGUGGGUGAAGAAGGCCUUCGGGUUGUAAAGCCCUUUUGUUGGGAAAGAAAAGCAGCAGGUUAAUACCCCGCUGUUCUGACGGUACCCAAAGAAUAAGCACCGGCUAACUUCGUG